GUGCGCUUCACGCGCAGUGUAAUCAUCACCCACCGCCUCGCUCUCUCUCUCUCUCGCUCUCUCUCCCUCUCUCUCUCUCUCUCUCUCUCUCUCUCUCUCUCUCUCUCGCUCUCUCUCUCUCUCGCUCUCUCUCUGUCGGUGCCGGAUGAUUUGGUUUUAAUUUGAAGGGCACCGGGAAGGCGCAGCCCGGGUCUUUAAAGCCAGGAGGGACGUGGCGUGUUUAUGAGAUGUAGCUUCACCGGCAUCGCUUUCCAAACCCACCUGUCACCUCCCUGCUUAGGACGGAAAGAAGGACGGAAGGAAGGAAGGAAGGACGGAAGGAAGGCGGGAAGGCAGGAAGGAAGGAAGGCAGGCGGCUGGCAUGCCGAUGGUUUCAUCUUCGAGGGCGACUGGAAGGGAAAGUUCAGCCUGUUUUCGGUCAACGAUUCACUCCUUCUCGUGAUUCCCGUAAUUUCACAACCUCCGCCGAGGCACCGCUUCAUCUGUAGACACAUUUUACCCGAAAUCCAUCAGCUGUUUCAAACCAUCAACGCGCAGGAACACAAACAGCAAUCUUAAGAAAUGGACCAAGAUCCUCCGAUCCAAAGCCAGAUGCUGGAAGACGACCCAAAGGGAGCAGCAGAUGCUUUAACAAUGGCCGCAGCUACAGAAUCGGACGCAGCGGCUCCAGACCCAGAUUCCACUGUCAACCAGCCUGCAGCUUCUGCCAGGCCUCGACGGCCACAGAGAAGUGCCAGAGUGGAGGGCUCUGUGGACAUCUCUGAGCCCAAAGCUGAGCCCAAAGCUGAGCCCACUCUUGUGGCAAACCAGGAGGAGUGCGACACCGAUGGCCCUGCGGCAAGUCGCCCCAAACCUUCUCGCUCCGCAGCAUUCAAACCCACAGGAGAGCGCUCGGGGCCGAGCGCCAAGGCUGGUCCGAAAGGGCCGGGUCACCACCCGGUUAGGGCUGCGUCGGUGCCCCACCCACCUGACAGCAGGCCCGUGGCUCCUCACCUCAACCCUCAUGCACAGCGGGCCCUCUCUGUAGCCGGUACCGCGGACACGCAGGCCCAGGUGGUGGAAGACUUCAGGCAAGUGCCCUCAUCAGUGUUUGUUCUAAUCUGCACGUCUCAGCAUGUCUUAACUUCCGCUUUCCACCCAGAACAGCUGAGAAAAAGAAAAAAAAAAGGCUUGCACACGGAAUUUAUUUGUGUACACUGACAGUCCACGCUGCGGGCCUACGUGAUCGUAGUGAACGUGUAGAUUGUGGUGACCAUAACUAUUUG
ensembl:lncRNA